CAGGGAAGCCAGGAUGGAGCCACCGAUCCAGACGGAGUACUUCCUCUCAGGGGGAGCAAUGAUCUGGGUGAAGGGAAAAGUGGGAGAGAGUCGGUCAGUAACAGGGUCCCAAAUGCCCAAAUCUGGUCAGUGUCUGUAAGGGGCCCUGUGUGCAUAAAUAAUCUUCCACAUAAUAACAUGUGAAGAAAUUCAUUAUUAUUCAUCUAAAUGAUGUGUAAUUAAUAUGGUACCUAAAAUAAUGAAGACGACCCUGAGGGACACCAAACUGGUGAUUCCCCACCAGAGGGUACUGUUUUUCCUUUUGUAAUCAAACCAAAACUUGUUUUCUUAAUGGAGUGAAACAAAUACAUAGUUAGAUAUUUCGACAUGAACCUGUCGAAAAAUUGGAAAAUUCGGUGUCAUUUAUGCUUAUAAUUAAAAAUACUGUAGCAAGAAAUGCUAAAUCAAGCUUUGGGUGUUGAGGGUACAUAAUUUCCCACUAGGAAGAUACUAAUUAUUUAUUUCUAAUUUUACAUUUUGAUAAAGGGAAAAAAUAAAUACAUCAAACUUUGUUAUUGGAGUACAGAGCAGGAAUUGUCUGGUAAAGUGAAUCUUAAAAUGCAGUACCGGUGUAUGAAAGAUUUACUGAAUUGAAAUGAACUGAAAAUAAAAUGAAAUACAUUCAUAAUCUGAAAUAUAAUCAAACUAAGGAAUGACGCCUGUAGCUACAGCCCUAGACCCUGUCUGGUACAGUUCAUUUUUUGAAACAUUUUUAUUUUCCAUGUGCAGCAUUUUUGUGUAUUUUGCACAGUACAUUUUGUACUGUACAUUUUUAAUUGCUGUGAAGCUCAGUUGUAAGUACCUUUCAAAUACAAUACAUUUGUGUUUAAUCUAUAUUUAAUAAAUGUUUAGUCUUCCCAUUCCAUUUUAGCAGCAUAUGACGAGCGGUUGCAAAUGCUUUCAUGCUGAUGUCUUUUUUUGUCAUGAUAAUUUUUUUCUGUUUAUUUCUUUAUUAUAAAUGUAUCACACGGUUCUCAGAAAAAUAAGAUAUUUGUGCGGGCUAGCCCCCCCCCCCCAAAUCUAACUAUUUGAUAUACCUUAAUCUUCAUUGUGCUGGGUGCCAGGGCAGUGAUCUCCUUCUGCAUACGGUCAGCAAUACCAGGGUACAUAGUGGUACCACCGGAGAGCACGUUGUUGGCGUACAGGUCCUUACGGAUGUCAAUGUCGCACUUCAUGAUGCUGUUGUAGGCGGUCUCGUGGAUACCGGCAGACUCCAUACCUGUGCAGGUCACGAGGGCAAUUGUUAGGACUUGCAGCAUGCGCAAUGAAAGUGCGGGGUAGGAGGACGAACAACGCACCAAUGAAGGAAGGCUGGAACAGGGUCUCGGGGCAACGGAACCUCUCGUUACCGAUGGUUAUGACCUGCCCGUCGGGAAGCUCGUAGCUCUUCUCCAGGGAAGAGGAGGAGGCGGCGGUGGCCAUCUCGUUCUCGAAGUCCAGAGCCACGUAGCACAGUUUCUCCUUGAUGUCACGCACAAUCUCACGCUCAGCUGU